rnacentral:lncRNA from 1 species
CAAUAUUACUAGUGAUUUAAAAGAUUGGUAAUAUUGUCAUCUGCCAAAUGGGUCAUUUCACUCCCAACACCAAAAGGUUUCAUCAGGAUUUCUCAGCACGUUUUUCUCAUUUUCCUUUUAUUACACUCAGAGAUCUGCACUGACAAAAGAUCUAAAUGUGUUGCUUCAUUGUGUUGAUAUGAAGUUUUUUUUGUUUCAGAGAUGAUAUUGCCUCAACAAAAUACCUCCA